UAAAAAGAAAACUAUCUUCCGUGCACUUUUUUCAUGGCUAAAAUUGCGGAACCAAACUUAUGAUUAUAAAUGACACAUUACGUUAUAUAAAAUCUUAAUUUUGACGAUAUUAAUGCCAAAAUUUGAUUUAGAAUUAAAAUAAUAUAAUUUUCAGUCAUUAAAUAUUAUAAAAUUUGGUAUAUCAUUAAGAAAUAUAAAUAAUAACAUAAAUAGCAAUUCAACUUUUCCCGCGCAAACGUUCACGCGCAAAUGGUGGGGGACCACGGGACUAUAUAUAUGGGACUCUCUCCCCUCUAUCGUCAUUUUCUCCGGAGCCGGCUAUGGCGAGGGUUGCGUGGGGUUGCGCGUCUGGAAGGGAAGCCUACAGGGGUGGGGGAAGCCUGGGCAUUGUCAUCCCCUUUAGGAAAUCUACAUUACUUGUACACAGUUAACUCCAGGUGUUUCAAGGUCAUCCUCGAGAAAACACAGUGCUGAAGAAGAUUUCAAUGUCUUACACGAAUAACAACAGGAAUAAAAUUAUCAUAAGGGGAAAGGAAAUAAAAUAUUAAAAUUAAUACAUCAGUAAUACUUAUUAUUUUAUUAUACAUAUUUAAAAAAAAAAACAAUACAUAUUUCAAGCAGAGUAUUAUGAAAUUGAUUACAUGUUUUUCAAUUCUUUUAAAUGAUGAGAUUCCUAUAAACCACUAUUUUAGUGAUAUUGCAGAGACUUCUCGAGUGAUUAAAAAAAUCUCUAAUAGAUCUAGUACAAUACUGUGCAUCAUGAUCAAUGGAUAUUUCAUGCAACAAAUUAAUAAAUACUUAUGUUAAAAAAUUUUUUUACUUUUAUAUUUUAAAAGAUUCAAAUUCAUAAUACACACUGUACAUAUUGCAAUGCACUUAUUGUUAAUACUAAUGAAUUUAUUUAAAAAGCUUUCCCCACAAACUACCAGAUAAAAUAUAUCAUUUGUGUUCCAUUUUUUAAUGUAUCUAUCUAUGUAUAUAUAUAUAAUUUAAA